AUGGGAACGCGAAGAACCUUACCUAGACUUGACAUCUUCUGCAUUAAUCGUAAUGGAUGAAAUCCCUUCGGGGACAGAAUGACAGGUGGUGCAUGGUUGUCGUCAGCUCGUGUCGUGAGAUGUUGGGUUAAGUCCCGCAACGAGCGCAACCCCGUAUUACUAGUUGCUAACAUUAAGUUAAGCACUCUAGUGAGACUGCCCGGGUUAACCGGGGUAGGAAGGUGGGGUAUGACGUCAAAUCAUCAUGCCCCGUUAUGUCUAGGGCUACACACGUGCUACAAUGGUGGGAACAAAGAGAUGCAAUACCGCAAGGUGGAGCUAAACUCAAAACCCCGAUCCCAGUUCGGAUUGUAGGCUGAAACUCGCCUACAUGAAGCUGGAGUUGCUAGUAAUCGCGAAUCAGAAUGUCGCGGUGAAUACGUUCCCGGGUUC
rnacentral:rRNA from 1 species